CACAUCUCUGGCAUAUAUAGUUACAGUUGCCACUUGCCUUCGGAGUAGCAGUAAAGAAGAGACCAGUUGUGAGCGCGAGCGGAGGAUCCGUCACGUUCGCAAACUAGCUAGCUGUGCGACCAAGUUGUUUUCUUCGCAACGCAUUGAGUCUUUGUACUAUUUUUCUACCCCACCCCACCACCACCACCACCAACACCACUAAUGCCGAGCCGUCAUUAAAGCUCAGUUAAAUCAGUUUAGCCGACGUGUGCGUCUGGUGCUUUGGCCGGCUCGCCAAUGCUUCUGCAUCAGUUUAUGAACGGAGCCCUGGAAGCCAUGCAUCCCACAGCGCUCCAGAAGGACACCACUUUUACCAAAAUCUUCGUCGGCGGACUGCCGUACCACACGAACGACGCUUCUCUGAGAAAAUACUUCGAGGCCUUUGGAGACAUUGACGAGGCUGUAGUGAUAACCGACAGGCAGACGGGCAAAUCGAGAGGCUACGGCUUUGUAACGAUGACAGACCGAGGGGCGGCAGAGAGAGCCUGUAAGGAUCCCAACCCCAUCAUUGAUGGCAGAAAGGCCAAUGUCAAUCUGGCCUACCUUGGUGCCAAGCCCCGAAGCUUACAAACAGGCAUAUCCAUCGGAGUGCAGCCCAUUCACCCAGCAUUCAUCCAGAGGCAGUAUGGGAAUUGUGGUGAAAGAAAGGCCUCGGUUUCCUUUAAGAACUAGUACACUUCCAAAUGACAGAGCCCCUGUCUUGAUGCAAUGAUCCAAUCCAUCUUUUUCCCAUUUUUGCUGGACAAUAAUCCUCCUCCUGUCCAACUUCCUGCCUGCCACGGUUGCUGUAUGCUGCCAGCUGACGAUCAGAGGACCCACCCCCCUUCUCCCCCAAAUAUAAGACUAGUCCUGAGGAAGGGUUUGACAGAAAAUGUCCCACCCCCACAUCUCCUCCCUGCGCAAGGUGCCAGUGAUGGCUUGAGAGUGCUGUGCUGUGCAGUGUGGAGUGCCUUUUUAUCUUUCCCAGUUUUGUGUGCGAGUGAUAUGAAGUGAAGAGGUCACACUGAUUGUGGUGUGACUCUACCUAUUAUGGCAUGGUUUGGGGUUUGCAGUGGUUGCUGGCGUGUGGGAGGGGGCUGUGUGCGUGUGUGUCAGGGACCGUGAUGACAUCCUUAUCCUUGCAUGCUUCCGUCUCUUGCUUUUUUGAUUCCACGGCAGCCUCUCAUUACUGAUGAUUUAAGACUCAAAUUGAAACAUUUUUAUCAGCACUGAGAGGCAGCUCAAUGAGUGACAUUUUUUGUGACGGUCUUGUCUCUGUCCAUACAUGUUUUGCCACUCAAAACAAUCGCAUUCAGUUUUGAAAGCAGAAGGGGUCUCGAGCUACUGUUUUUUGUUUUUUUUUUUUGUAUAUAAAAGGGAAACUUCUAUCUGCUAUUCCUCUCUGCUCUACCUUUCAAACACUUUAAAGACCAGUUUUGCUGUGCUCUUAUGCCGUGUCUUCUUUUUCCAUUAAUCGGCUAAUAAUAGCCCAAAUCAGCUAAAGUCGACUUGAUUUUUUUCCCUCCUCUCUGUUGUAGAUUUAAACAAAUGAUAAUGGACAAACUAUCAUUUUUGAUGUAUGUUACUUAAAAAAAAUGGCACUAGAAGCACUGCAGCUGGGGGGGGGGGAUCUCAUAAGUCAUGUUCAAACCUAGGUUGAUGCAAAAUUUCUGCCUCGAAGCUCUGCCAAGACCAAAAACUAAAAAAGUUCAGCCCAGAACUAUUUUUGCGCAGGUGGAACAAAUGUUUCACACGGACAUUUAUUGCAGACUGACGCAGAGUGUCUGUAAGUGAUUUUUAAAACGUUGGUAGAUGUGUAAUAUACAGUACAUAUAACAUGGUGUAUGAUUGAUGUGAAGUUAUUUUGUUUUGUUUUUUUAGCUAAAAUGUUACUUGCAAUUCCUAACCAUUUAGCAUUUUGCUGUCUCAAAUUCUGUGCACCAAGUUUCUACCAGGCACUGACUACAAUCAUAUACAGUUUAAGGAUUGAAGUCCAUCCCUUAUAAAUGGGAAUAAAAUAUUAAUAAUAAAAUUAGUUGUAAAAGAAAAAUUUAUUUAACUUAUUUAAUCCUAGCCUUUUUUCAAGAGAACCCCCCCCCACCCCCACCUCGAUUACCAGCUAUUUUAGAGCAUUUUAAUCAAUCUUUCAAACUACAAAAAAGUUUAUUUCUACCUUUUUACAUUCCUUCGUCAUUAGUGGUAGAAUUUAAAUUAUACCGACAUUCUAAAUUGUUUGUUUUUAUGGGGAUUAAUUUUGCUCUAAAGGCUAAUCCUUUGAUGAGCCCCCUUCUGAAGCUGUGGCACAUAAAGACGUGAAAAUGCGUCUUUGGGAUUGGGUGAUCACAUUCUAAAAUAUAUAGAACUAUGUUUUGGGUUUUAAAUGGGUCAGCAGUUGGGGGGAGGGGUAUUUAUUAUAGUUUUACCAAUUGUCAAUAGGAGAAUCAAUUCUGAAAAGAUUUAAUGGCGACGGCCAUACUGCAAUCUGUUAGUUGGUCUGCAAAGAAUCCUUGCAUGGCAAUGGAAUGGUGAGUCCAUAAUAUACUCUUCUCAAACGCCACCUUCCCACCAACUGGUAUAGCUAACACAAAGAGGAAUAUGACCUAUUAUUUAAUACUGCCUGUUGAAAUUCUUCAUUAACAAUAAAUGUAUAGUUCUGUUUGUCUUCUUGGCAUAAGUUUCUUGCAAAAUGCACUAGCUCUGCGACAAUGACCUUUUUAAUAUUAAUGUCAUUUUGACAUACCACAAGAGUUAAUACAAGAGCACAUGAUGAUACAAAAAAAUGCAAGCAAUUUUAUCCACAAAAUUUUGAUGAUAGUGGUUUUCACCAUUUGAUGUCGCUGAUGGGAACCGUUCAGAAUAAUAGCAUCCACCUGUCAGCCUGUUUUAAGCAGGAAGUUGCUUGCUCGCUAACAGGUGGACAAACAUGAAUAUGAGUCACCGCAUCAGUGUACUUCUGCUAAUAAAGACAUUUACAGUAGUUAUACUGAAUUGUAUGUGGUCAUUUUAGGAUCGUCAACAGUCAUUGCUAGUGACUGCAAAAGACAUUUGCACUGUAUUGGAUGUAAACUAAAUAAUGGUUUUCAGCAGGUCCAGCUUGGGAGUCGAGGGUCAGGACUUGAGCCAUGCUUUGUAAAAAAAACAAAGCAAUAGCCACAAGUUGUUGGAUGCUAGUCUACAUCCUGACUACUGCCAAGGUGCUUUUGAGCAUCACACUGACACGCUUUCAGCUCAGGAGUCCGGUCACCCUUUGCACACUUUUUCACUUUGAUAUUCGUGCAUGUGUGUCGUGUGCUUGUCUUAUAUGGUGUGAGAAAGAAAAUGAGUUGUUGAUUCCUGGUUAAAUAAAAAAAAAAAAGUGGGUGGAGGGUGAAUUGUAGAGACCCUGCACCACAUAGCUUUAAUCACCUAAGAGCUACAGGACCUGACAGCAGCAUUGAUAAGCACCGUGUGUGUGUGUGUGGUGUGUGUGUGUGUGUGUGUGUGUGUAUAUGUGUGUGUAUGUGUGUGGUUUACGGGUUGUGUGUGCGCGUGAAAAGCAGCAGCAGCUGUUGAAACACUCUGCUGGUGCCUGAACUUGAAAACCUGCCAGUAACGGCUGACUCUGUCAUUCAGGCGGCCCUCCCCACGCUUGGAGCUGAGAAGGCCUAACCGAACAUGUUUGAUCGGUUUUCACUAACUGACAUCAGUCGAGUCCUCUCCAUCUCUUCCUAACUGCCUGUGGUUGGCCCCGCCCUACGUCUACCCACAAGCUUAUGUGCAGCCCAGCCUGGUGCUGCCCGCCCAGCUCUCGUCCUCUGUGAGUAGCAGCCCUUACCUUGACUACACCGCGGCCUACACGCAGUACACCCAGG